rnacentral:pre_miRNA from 1 species
UUUGUACUCCCUUCGUCCCAAAAUUAUUGUCUUAAAUUUGUCUAAAUAUGGAUGUAUCUAGUUACAUUUUAGUGUUAGAUACAUCCGUAUCUAAACAAAUGUAAGACAAGAAUUUUGGGACGGAGGGAAUACUAC